rnacentral:lncRNA from 1 species
CAAGCUCAACAAGGCCAGGGAACUUUCCGGUCAAUCCAAGUUUCUGCAGCCUCUGUGGAGGGGAACAUGCCGGCUGACAGCCUCUACUAACAGGUUGGGGCUCCCUCCUGCUGCUCCUGCCCUCCCAGCCACCAGCUCAUUGGAGCAAGACCAGGUACUGACCAUGGGCAAUUACUCUGUUUUGAGGGGGCAUGGUGCAAAAUCUUUGCUCAUGCAGAGAAGCUGGAUCAAUCAUGAUCUCAUUAUUGGAUUUGAGUUGAGGUAUAAGUAGAACGUUCAACUGUUCACAGUGAAUUCACGGCUUAAAGAUGCAUGAAGGAGAGCCAUGAGGGAGAGUAAUUGCCUUGAAAAGUCAAAAAUAGGUCAGUUAACAUUAUUGGGAAGCAGGAUGUGUAAGAAAGGCUAUCAGGUUGAUAUAAAUACGUAGAAUAAAGAGUUAUGUUUUAGGGUAAAGACCGGAGAU